GUUCCUUGUCCAUGCCAGGAGUUCUGAGAACACCAACUAAUUAGACUAAACUUUCUGCCUGGAAAUGUAGUCAUGGGGUAUCUGAGGAUAGGGAGCAGUGCAAACAGGACUGUUACUUCUUUUGAAGCAACUGGCAGCUACAACUCAGCAACAUUCAAAGAGAAACUGGGGAAGAAAAAACCAGCCUCAGCACUUCUACUGUCACCACAAGGUCGGCUGUGAGGAUUUUGUACCACAGAAGUACAUGAAGGUGGGCUACUAAGCAUGGAUCAGGGAAGAGCUGCUUUAGUAGAGGAAGCACUCACACUAAUUGAAUCAUUGAAGCCUUAAAUAUAGAGACAUCAUUUGGGGUGCUUGCCCCUUGCAUCCAACUGUUGUACCAAAAAAAAAAAAAAAAAAAAGUUGCAAAUGUAAAGACUUGGCGUCCCUCAGUGAAGGGGCCAUUAUUGGUGUCCCAGUACUUCCUGUUUCCUGUCUCCAUUGUGUGUGCCCACAAUGCCUUUUCUUACAAUGUUCUGGCAGCUCCACAUGACCCAGGAACUGAGCCAAGGUGAUUCAGGUUCUGUCUGAGUUCUGGGAAGCCAUUCAAGUUUGUUCUGCAAUUCUCCAGGCCAGUUCAAACCCGGUCGUGCUUUAGAAACCCUGUUGUUGUGAGAUGAAUUGAUUAAGAGAUCCAUCUCUGGGCAAGUUUCUUCAUUCCAAGCCUGUGUGUCCAUCCUCUGACUGACAGAAAGCAAAGAUAACCUGUUCACCAUUCUCUCUUCCCCAAGCUGCCUGGAGACCUCCCUUCAUCCACUCCAAAAGAAGCAAACAUAAAACUCAGAUGUCUGCCGACAUACACAAUCUCCAGGUUCCAGACUUGAUUUUUUUUUUGUUUAUUUAUUUUUAAUCUUCCAUGAUAAAGGCAAAUUACAUACUUUCCUUUACAAUCCAAGCAAUCUAAAGAGAACUUUUAGGGGAUACUGUUGGAGAAGAACAUUUUCUUGGCCAGUGCUUCCAUCAACCUUUAAAAUAUUAAGAAGAAAAUGUCCACCCCAUCACUAACUCAAGUCUUCCUAAAGAGCUUCCAUUUCUGGCUUUGACGUCUUUAUAUAGGCUGUGCUUCAAACUCAAUAUGUAUUCCCUCUACAUCUCCACUUUUCAAGAUCCCUAAGUUCCUUCAACAUUGAUAUCAGGUGGUACUUACUGCAUGAUGCCUUCCCUGACUUCUAGAGGUGUUGGAAGAUGGCUAAGAGAAAGUUUCCUAUAGAAAGUGGGAUUUUUAGUUGGGACUUAAGGAAACCAAAGAAGUCAUUGGGUGGAGUGGAGGUCGAACUGUUGGAAGCUAGGUGACACAGUAGAUAGAAUCCUGGGUCUCAAGUCAAGAAGAUCUGAGUUCAAAUCCUGCCUCGGAUGCUAAUAAGCUGGGUGAUCCCUUAGCAAAUCAUUUAAUCUGUUAGUUUCUUCUUCUGUAAAAUGGACAUAAAAUAUUACCUACUUUUUAGAGUUGUAAGGAUAAUUGUAAAAUGCUUAGCAUGGUUAACUAUUAUUACCCCAUAAAAAAUUACCUUUUAAUUUUAUUCUAUAUAUUUGAAUAUAGUUAUUUUGUGUCUUUCUUCUAAAAAAUGUAAGGUGGUUCAAGAGAAGGGUUGUUUUUCUUAUUUCUUUGCAUCCCUGGCCCACAGCAUACAGCUAAGCACAGAGUAAGCACAAAAUAAAUUCUUGUUGACUGAUCAUAAGGUAUUAUUCCAGGAAUUGAGGAUAUAAAAUCAAAACAAAAAACAGUUCCUAGCCUCAAGGAAUUUAUACAACAAAUGUUUGCUGAGUAACUCCAAAGAGCCAGACAAGAUGAUGGAAAUAAUGAAGUCUGAAAUAUAUCUCUGACUAUAAAGAUAAUCUAAACUACUUGAGGAGAUUAGACUUAAACAUCAUCAUCAUCCUCAGACAUGAUAAUUCAAAGCUAGUAUCUAUGGAAGACUUCAAGCAAAAGCCGGAUAAUUAUUUGUCAGGGAUAUAGAAAAAGAGAUUCCCUGCUCAAAUAUCAAUCAGAUUAGGAGAAGAUAAAUGGUAUAAUGGAUAGAGUGCUAGUCCAGAAAUUGAAAGAACCUGAAUUCAAAUUUGGCCUAAGACAUUUACUAGCUGUGUGAUACAAGGCAAGUCACUUAGUUUGCCUCAGUUUCCUCAUCUGUAAAAUGAGCUGGAAAUAGCAAACUUCUCCAGUAUCUUUGCCAAGAAAAUCCAAAAAAUAGAAUCCUGGAGAAUCAGGCAGGACUGAAAUGAACUCAACAACUAUACACAAAAAAAAUAGGUCAGAUUAGGUAACUUUGGUGUUCCAUCCCAUCCCCCAAAUUCCCCUAAUCUUUGUAAACAAGUCUAAUCCUCCUCCUAUAUGACAAGACUCCAAGAAUCUGAAAACUAACUUAUAAUUAAGUCACAUAUGAAUGGAAUGUUAAGUCUAUCCUUUUCCAAGAUAAACACCCUCAGUUCCUAUAAUUAAUUCUUAUAUGGAAUGAUUUGGAGAUUCCUUUCCACCUUAGCUAUCCUCUUCUGGGACACACUUCUGAUCACAAAUAUUCAAAAUAAAUAUGACAUACAUAGCUAAACUCAAUGCUCCAAAUGAGUGUUGAGUAAAAUAGGACUAUCACCUGCUUCAUACUAUAAUUGUAUUGAUAUUAGCAAUAACUAGCAUAUUAAAUCACUUGAAAUUUGUAAAAAAAAAAAAUUGACCUUCAAAACAAUCCUGGGAGGUAAGUACUAUUACUAUAGCAUUCACUUUACAAAAGCAUCUAAAAGCAUCUAGCAAAUAUAUGAGGUCAGAUUUGAAAUCUUUCUGAUUUCAGGUCCAGCAUUCUAUCUAUCCAUUAAUAUGGUCUAAGACUGAAUUAAUCAUUGCUGAUUCAUAUACAGCUCAUUGUCAACAGGUCAUCAUUUCACCAGAACUGCUCUCUCUAAAAUUAUUAGUUGCCAAAUCCAAAACUCAAAUUUUCCUUUGACAUCUCUGCAGCCUUUGAAGAUGUUGAUCACUCUUUCUCCUUGGUACUCUCUUUUUUUUUUAAGGAUCUUCAUAGCACUGGGAAAAAAGGAGGAGGAGACCAAGAUAUAGCAGUGAGUUUCAUUGAAAGCCUGUAUUAUGUCUUUGGUUUACUAGAAUAGCCAGUCCAAACAAGUUUAAUCCAGUUCAACGUGAUCUGAUCUGGUCCAAACUGGUUCAAGCCUAUCCAAACCAGCUCGAUCUGCUUCAAACUAUUUCAAUUCAUAAACUUACUCAAUUUGAUCAGAUCAGUUUAACCCAAUUCAAUCCAGAAGGAGGAGCAGGAUUUAUGAAAACGAAAAUUGUUUUAUUUUUGAAAUGCUAUCUAGACAGAGAUAUCCAGUGGGUAACUGGAGAUCUAUUGUUCAGAGGACAGACCAGGCUCUCUUUUUUCUGAAUUUUCUGAAUAGCCAUGAUAGCUACAGCUUGAUUAUAAAUAAGGUAGGCUGACAGAAGAAAUAGUAUACAGAGAGACCAUUAGAGGAACAAAGACAAAACCUUGGGUUCAAAAACAAAAGACAAGGAGUUUGAAAAGAAAACAAAGGAAAGUGUCUAAAAACUGAUAUAAAGGGAGAAGUGCAAAAAGAAGACUGGAAAAGGCUUUUGAUUUCAUUAUUAAGUAAUUGGUUGGGGUAGCUAGAUGGUGAAGUGCAUAGAGUACCAGCUGGUUUAAUGUUUUUCCUCUAAAUCUCCAGAGCUAGCAUAUGUUCUAAAAGAGAAGACAGUUAAAAGUACUUUAAGAUUGUUUUUAGGAGCAGUUAGGUGGUGUACUGGAUAGAGCACCAGCCCUGAAGUCAGAAAGACCUGAGUUCAAAUAUGAUCUCAGACACUUAACACUUUCUAGUUGCGAGACCCUGGGCAAGUCACUUAACCCCAAUUGCCUCAGGAAAAAAUAAAUAAUUGGUCAUUUGUGCCAGUGAAAUUUCCCUAGAGGGAUGAGGGUGAAUGCCAGAUUAUAAGAAUCUGAGAAAUAAGUAAGUAGUAAGGAAACAGAGUCAUCAGAUAUAAAAACUUUUUCCAAUGGUAUAGUAAUGGAGAUGAGAGAGAUGAGACUAUAGCUGGCUGAGAUGCAAAGGUCAAGGGAAAGCUUUCUUAUUUCUUAAGGACUGAGGCAUCACUAACCAUCUGUGUGACUGCUGAUAAGCCAUUUAAUCUUUCUGAGCCUGUUUCCUCAUCUCAAAAUGAAAAGGUGGGACUCAAUCUCAAAACAGUUUGGUAGAGUAGGAAAACACUGGCUCUAGAAUCAAAGGACCUAGUUUCAUAUCUUGUGCCUCAGUUUAUUCAUCUGGAAUAUGAAAGGUUUUAUUGGAUGUUGUCUGAACUCUUUUUUCAGUUCUAGAUCAUAAUCCCUGUGACACAAUUAACUAAAAUCGUCAAACUACCAAUAUCCCUUCCAUCAUACUCCCAGAAAACUAGCUAAGUCCUUUAGAAUUCCAUUGGGUAAAAAAAUAAUAAUAAUAAAAAUCACAGGUACUUCCUUCUCUGAAUUAAAUCUCAAAAUCAUUGAAUGUCAUUACUAAAAGGAACGGUAAGAGACAUCAAAGUUCGUUGUUCCACUAGGCUUCCUAUUGCUCCUGAACAAAUUCUGCCCCCAGGUCUGGCAUCCAAGGACCUCCAUAAACUGCUUAGAUCCUAAACUGCCCAGCUUUAAUUGUUACUACUACCCUUAAUAUAUUCCCUUCCAUUUUAACUGGAUUCUUCUUCAUGCUAUAUUCAUCCAACUUUUUCAUAUAACCAUGGCUUUUUUCACAUUGCCCCCAGUCCAAUACCUGGAGUUUAAUUUUCCCCCAUUUCCAUUUGUUGAAGUCCCUCCUUUUAAGUUCCUUAAACUUGAAGUCCAAGUUUAACUUGGGUCCCACCUAUUUAAUGAAGUCUUCCCUGGUUGCUCUAAAUUAAAAUGAUGUCUCUCUUCAAAUUCCUUCCAGAACUUUCUCCUCUCUCCCCCCCCCCCCAGGCAAUUAGGGUUAAGUGAUUUGCCCAGAGUCACACAGCUAGGAAGUGUUAAGUGUCUGAGGUCAAAUUUGAACUCAGGUUUUCCUGAUUUCAGGGCUGGUGCUCAAUCCACUACACCAACCAGCUACCCCCUUCCCAGUACCUUUAUGGAACAACACGGCAAUUUUUAUAUUUGUCUCCAUCCUCCCUAUCACUACCACCAUCACUUCCAUCUUAUAAACUCCUUAAAAAAUGGGGGGAAUGUGAAUAUUUAAAGGAAGGUAGAUGGAAGGGUACAAGAAGGAGAUCUGGAGUCAGAAAGCCCUUAAUUAAAAUCUAGCUUCAGACAUAUAUCUCUUUGCUGCCUGUUUCUUCAUCCAUAAAAUGUAGAUAAUAAUAGCACCUGUCUCCCACAUUUGUUAUGAAGAUCAAAUGAUGUAAUAUUUAUAAAGCAUUUAGCAAAACUUAAAGCCCUAUGUAAAUGCUAGCCAUUAUAUGAGCAAUAUCCCUAAGCUGUAUCAUUGCACUCAUUUAUCAAAACACUUAAAUAUUUGUCGACUUUAACUCAUUUUAGAAGAGACAAGCAAAGCAUACAGUGGGAAAAUGGUUUCCUUAAGGUCAUCCACUGAGUUUGUCACAGUUGUAUGAUAGCAACUUAAUGACAAAAAGAAGGGGAAAACACCCACAUAUUUCAAGAACUAUCAUGGCAUUAGAAUUAGAAGGAACAAUAAGGAUUAUUUAGGGUAAUUCACUUCAUUUUAAGAUGAGGAAAUUGUCCUAGACAUGAGAAAGGACUGGUUUAAGGGCAUGAAGCUCAUUAUUAGCAUAGCCACAAUUCAAAUACUGAUUGCUUAGCUCAAAAUCAAUGCCAAAAAUAUAAGUCAUAGGAGAGAGAGAAACAAGCUUUCAAGGAAAGAAUGAAAGAGAAAUAAAAAGCCAUAUAGGCUUCCCCAGAACCUCCAGAAUCAUCCUCUAGACUCUUGUACUUUUUAUGUGCAACUUUAUUCAUAAUGAACUCAUUUACAUUAAUCAAGUGUUUAUUGGAUGAUAUCAAGAAAUCCAUUGGCAUUCCCUCACCUUUCCAAGAUAUUCCUGAAAGAACCUAAUCAAAUCACUUUGCUUGAAUGGCCUGCUCAAAACUAUAUGGGGGGGGGGGAGGAAGCUAGGUGGUACAGUAGAUAGAGCCCAAGCCCUGAAGUCAGGAGGACCUGGGUUCAAAUCUGAUCUCAGACACUUAACACCUCCUAGGUGUGUGACCCUGAGCAAGUCACUUAACCCCAAUUGUCUCAGCAAAAACAUAUAUAGAUAUAGAUAUAGAUAUAGAUAUAGAUAUAUAAUAUAGAUGUUCCUCUCAUUAAGGAAUUCAGUGCAGUAGCCCUUAUCCAACAUUCUGAACAUGCAUUAUCCUGUUUCAGAAAGGUGGGAUUUGGGAAUAGAAUUUAAAACUUCUUUUGCUGUUUCUUUUAAUUAUAUGUGCCCAAUUUGUCUCCACUAUCUUGAUGCAGUACUUCAUCUGACAUCUAGACUAUUUCAAUAACCUUCAAAUUGCCUCGUUUCUCCUCAUUCUACUCCAUUCUCCACUUAGUCAUUACAUUAACCUGUCUAAAGAAUAGAUAUAACUACAUCAUCUCUCUCCCCAUUCAAUAAACUCCAGUGGCUUCUUAUUACCUCCAGUAUCAAAUAUAAAAUUAUCUGUUCAGCUUUUAAAGCCUUUCAUAAACUGGCCUCUUCCUUUCUUUCCAGUCUUUUUACAUAUUAUACUCUGUCAAAUACAUUGGGAUUUAGUGACUCUGACUUCUUUGAUGGUUCUCACACAAGAUACUCUAUCCUGAUUGCAUUUUUACUGACUAAUGGCUAAUGUUUUUCUUUUAUUGACUAUCUUCCCCUUAUCUUGUAUAUAGUUUGUACAUCAUUCAUGAUGUCUACCUAAUUAAACUGUGAAUUUUGGGAAAAGAGGGACAAUUUGAGGGAGUUGGGGAUGUUGACUUUCUUUGUAGAAGAGUGAGAGAAAGAGAGAGGGACAAAAACAGAAAAACCAGUAAAAAGUAGAAAAUAUAUGGUAGGAAACAGUGACACCCAAGACAGAAGGAAUCCCAUAAGACUUUCUCUAUCUAUAUCUGCGCUAAUCAAUAUUAGGAAUAAUAUGUAAAACUACCAUCUAGGAAAACAUUCAAAGAAAUAAAGUAUUUCUUUUUAUUUUUGUUCUAUGUUAAAGUCAAUAAUCCACUUGAGGUUAAAAAAAAAAAGCAUCAACACACACGCACGCACACACACGGACGAACGUAGACCAGUUCAAGAAAAAGAGCAUUAAAUGCAACCCAAAUGACCCCGGAUUCCUGAAAAUCUGGAUACGUAGGAAUUUCAGACUUUCCCUCUCUGCCUACAAACUCUGUAUGUACCUGCAAUGUGUUGUACAAGAAAUAUCUAACUUAUUUUUAUGCUUUUUCCCCCUUUGGAAAGGGGGUGAGUGUGGAUGAUUAUCACACUUCAUAUUUCUUUCCUAAAUUUCUCUCACCCCUCCUCCCCAAAAAAUAAAAAGUCAGUUUCAUUGUCACGUCUACUUUUUAAUGGAUCUUUCAGCUUAGAAGGGAGAGCUGCGCCGUUCCGCCCACGGCCGUGUAAUGAGUACAUACAAGGGAGUUCAUGUUACACGAUUCCUCCCUCAAGGAUGCCCCCUCUCCCCAGAGUUCAAUUUCUAAAGCCCAGAAUAAGCAACCCGGCUGUACCCCACCCCAUAAUCGUAAGGCAUCUGGUGGGGAGGAGGUGGGGUUGGCAGGGCACAGUCAGGGAAGAACUGAGCAAAAGGCGUCAAAGGGCCGGCGUUGUCCUCUCCCCCAGGGGAGCCGAGGCUGGAAGCGGAGUCUGAGGUACCGGGGUACAAGGGGCGCAAAGUUUCGUUCAAGGUCAAGCCGCCGCCCCCGCGAUUGGAAGCAGGGGCAGGCUUCUUGGCUGGGGGGCACGGGGUGCUCCAGGGCUCUGAGUAUAGCAAGCUAGAGACCACGGCGGGGUGCGGAUCGUAGAGGAUGUGUUCCAGCUCCUGGGGGGCCCGCAUGGCAGCUGGGAACAAAUCGAGAGGCUCGGAGGAUAGUAAGCUCCCAACCUCUCCACCCGCACAGUAAUCGGGACUCAAUAGCUCGAAAAACUCCAUCGCCUCGCAGCCUUUCUCCAGCUCGCGAAAGGUCACGCCAGCCCCCGGCUGGCCGCAUCCACCUGCCCUAGACGGUUCGGUGAAGAAAGACGGGGGUAGAUUGCGAUUCCGGAGAGGGACUUUCUUGCCCCCUCCGGCUCCAGCUAUAACCACAGCUGGACCACCUCCUUCGGCUCCCACGCCGCCGCCGCCGCCGCCGCCUCCUCCGGGCGCCACAGCCAAGGUUCCGGCUCCUCCUUUCUCACCACAGUUCCCUCGAACCUGGUGCAAAGAGUCGAAGAGGGCAGCCAGGCUCUUGCUCUGAAGACUGGCGGCGGCCUGGGAGCCUUCCCGUUUCGGGGGUGCUUUGCCCUGGGGACCCGGGGCUGCGGGAGAGGCAGCAGGCAGUCGCUUCGGGGGCGCUUCGGGAGUCCCAGCCGGGCCAGCAGCUGCGGGGCCGGGGGAUGGAGAGACGGAAGGAGCAGGGCCCGAGGCAGAGGCCGUAGAGGAGGUCAUCAUACCAGUGCAGCGCUUGAUCUGCUUCUGGAGAUAUUUGCGGUGGUUCACCUUCCGCUUGGACUUGACGGGCUUGUCCAGGGCCAGCUUGAUGUUGCUAGACGCCGAAUCGAUGAAGCUCAGCAGGUCUCGAGUGGCUUCCCUGAAAUCUCCGCCGCCUCCCCCUCCGCCGGCUCCCUCAGCGGCCACAACUUCACCAAGCAGGGCGGUCCCAGUCCCCCCGGCCUCAUCCUCCUCGAAGCAACAGCCCUUCUCUAGGUCUCCAAAAUCCAUCCCUAGCGCCCCGGGAGACCCGGGGAAGCAAAAAGGGAUGAAGUGAUGGGGACUGAGGAUAGCUGCCUGUACAGCCAUCUUUGCGGCCGCCUGGCCCCGGUUCCGACUCUCCCCUCCUGGGUCUCAGUAGCCUAGUCGGCGCCUAACUUGGCUUUUCAAUGGGAGCCUUUUGAACCCCAAGCGGUUUGCUCCCUUGGGCGUCCACAGUCACUUUUCCACUCCCCAGACCUCAGAUCAGCUCACGCCCCGUCCAGGAUAGGCUUCGCAAACAGCGGGAUCCCUGUUCCCGUUCCCGAGACUGCCUAGAGCUGCAGACUGGAGCACUCCGUGCGCUCUGAAGCCGGGGCCUUUUCUCU
ensembl:lncRNA